AUGAACGCUGGCGGCGUGCCUAAUACAUGCAAGUCGAGCGAACGGACGAGAAGCUUGCUUCUCUGAUGUUAGCGGCGGACGGGUGAGUAACACGUGGAUAACCUACCUAUAAGACUGGGAUAACUUCGGGAAACCGGAGCUAGUACCGGAUGAUAUUUUGAACCGCAUGGUUCAAAAGUGAAAGACGGUCUUGCUGUCACUUAUAGAUGGAUCCGCGCUGCAUUAGCUAGUUGGUAAGGUAACGGCUUACCAAGGCAACGAUGCAUAGCCGACCUGAGAGGGUGAUCGGCCACACUGGAACUGAGACACGGUCCAGACUCCUACGGGAGGCAGCAGUAGGGAAUCUUCCGCAAUGGGCGAAAGCCUGACGGAGCAACGCCGCGUGAGUGAUGAAGGUCUUCGGAUCGUAAAACUCUGUUAUUAGGGAAGAACAUAUGUGUAAGUAACUGUGCACAUCUUGACGGUACCUAAUCAGAAAGCCACGGCUAACUACGU
rnacentral:rRNA from 1 species